CACGCCCUAAACGAUGUCAACUGGUUGUUGGGGAUUUAUUUUCUCAGUAACGAAGCUAACGCGUGAAGUUGACCGCCUGGGGAGUACGGCCGCAAGGUUAAAACUCAAAGGAAUUGACGGGGACCCGCACAAGCGGUGGAUGAUGUUCUUUAAUUCGAUGCAACGCGAAAAACCUUACCCACCUUUGACAUGUACGGAAGUUGCCAGAGAUGGCUUCGUGCUCGAAAGAGAACCGUAACACAGGUGC
rnacentral:rRNA from 1 species